rnacentral:ncRNA from 2 species
AUGAUGGCUGGGGGAGAGACCGCGUAAGCGGCGCCGAAGGGGUAAGUCUUUGUUAAACUCUCAGGCAAAAGGACCGUGGCCGGACU